ACCGCACAAGCGGUGGAUGAUGUGGAUUAAUUCGAUGCAACGCGAAAACCUUACCUACCCUUGACAUGUCCGGAAUCCCGAAGAGGUUUGGGAGUGCUCGCAAGAGAGCCGGAACACAGGUGCUGCAUGGCUGUCGUCAGCUCGUGUCGUGAGAUGUUGGGUUAAGUCCCGCAACGAGCGCAACCCUUGUCAUUAGUUGCCAUCAUUUGGUUGGGCACUCUAAUGAGACUGCCGGCGACAAACCGGAGGAAGGUGGGGAUGACGUCAAGUCCUCAUGGCCCUUAUGGGUAGGGCUUCACACGUCAUACAAUGGUCGGUACAGAGGGUUGCCAACCCGCGAGGGGGAGCUAAUCCCACAAAGCCGAUCGUAGUCCGGAUCGCAGUCUGCAACUCGACUGCGUGAAGUCGGAAUCGCUAGUAAUCGUGGAUCAGCAUGUCACCGGUGAAUACGUUCCCGGGUCUU
rnacentral:rRNA from 1 species